rnacentral:rRNA from 1 species
UACGUAGGGUGCAAGCGUUGUCCGGAAUUAUUGGGCGUAAAGAGCUUGUAGGCGGUUUGUCGCGUCUGCUGUGAAAUUUCGGGGCUUAACCCCGAGCCUGCAGUGGAUACGGGCAGACUAGAGGUAGGUAGGGGAGAAUGGAAUUCCCGGUGUAGCGGUGAAAUGCGCAGAUAUCGGGAGGAACACCGGUGGCGAAGGCGGUUCUCUGGGCCGAUACUGACGCUGAGGUGCGAGAGCGUGGGGAGCGAACCGG